rnacentral:tRNA from 1 species
CCUUCGAUAGCUCAGCUGGUAGAGCGUAGGACUGUAGUUGGUAUCCGUUAGCAAUCCUUAGGUCGCUGGUUCAAUUCCGGCUCGAAGGA